GAAAAAGGCAAAGAAACAGGAAGACAGAGGCAGUAAACACUGAUGAACAGUUUCUAUUUAUAUCUGAAAACCAAUUACAAAUCACAAGUCUUUUUUUUUUUUUGUAUAACUGAGUAUAAAAGGCCACAGAAUGUUGCACUUUCUGGCUUUUUUUGUCAGCUUUUUGUGAAAAAAGGGGCAGAAUUUGAUCCAAAAUGGCAGCCAGUUUGGGUUUUAAUUUCACACCAACGUUUAAAAACAGGAUGCUGACAGAUGUGUUCAGUUAAGAUCAGCCACGAGGCACGGGCUAACGCUCACGCCAACACAGAAGCUACUCCUCUGCCCUGCUUACAUCCUGCCGGCUAAAAAUGCUCUUUGAGUUGCCACCACGGCACAGAGCCUCACUCUCAUCAGAGCGAUGGUCACGCACUUAUUCACACUCGGCUGCAUUUGUGACUCAAAGCUUCACGAGACGUUCCGUCAACAUGGGGGUUUGAUAUUCUCAUCCUCCUCAGAGCUGUGAUCAAGUAUUCACCAGUGGCAGCAUGUGUGACUUGACCACAAAAUGCACAAGGAAGACGGAGAAGCUUAAUUUACUAUACAGAGAUGCAAGAAACAGCCCAGUCCUGUUUUGAUCUAGAUAUUUAGUCUUAUAACGGGAAAUGUUUGGUUGCUGUGGCUGAGAAAAGUGAGAUAUAUGAGAGAGAAUAAAUUGUUGCAUGACUGUAUUUGGACUUGAGAACGUCAUAUGUUAUUUUCUGUCACCGCGUUUUUGCAUGUUUCCAACAAGGCAGAAGAAGAGAUGUUGCAGCUGUGGUGGUGCACGUCUGUCUUUGUGAGCUCAGGCUUAUUCUGUUCAUCCAUCUGUACAUCCUGAAUUUUGUUCAGUCAUGCAGCGCUGGUGCCCGUUGCAAAACUGUGACGUGGGCGAACUUGUGGUGGAAAAAUUUGCACAUGAGGAGGCGAGUGCUGGCAUUGAAACAGCUAAAUCCCUGCACGGGAAAAGAUAGUGGAAGGGAGGAGAAUGGUGCCCGAAAGAGUCGGCCAGUCUACAUCCGCUGAGUCAAACUAUCCAAUGACUAACUGCUGGAUAUCAGGUAUAAAUAUCCAUACCUUUAAACUGGUAUAACCUGCCUUGACCUUGUCUUGUAUGUGAUCUACUCAGCCUCAUGACGACAGAAAGUCGAGUGAACUUUCGUAGUCCUCGAAACAUUUCGGGAGGUUCGCAGCAAAACAUCAUUGCAGCAUUCUCCUUAACAACUGAAGUACACAGGGAUUUAAAAACUACAGAAUCUCAUAAGGCAUAAUCCAAGUCUCCGGAAGCCCAGA